rnacentral:rRNA from 1 species
GGAGUUAGCCGGUGCUUCUUCUGUGAGUGAUGUCCUUCCUGCCGGCUAUUAACCCGCAGGCCUUCUUCCUCACUGAAAGUGCUUUACAACCCGAAGGCCUUCUUCACACACGCGGCAUGGCUGGAUCAGGGUUGCCCCCAUUGUCCAAUAUUCCCCACUGCUGCCUCCCGUAGGAGUCUGGGCCGUGUCUCAGUCCCAGUGUGGCUGAUCAUCCUCUCAGACCAGCUACGGAUCGUCGCCUUGGUGAGCCGUUACCUCACCAACCAGCUAAUCCGACAUAGGCUCAUCCGAUAGCGCGAGGCCCGAAGGUCCCCCGCUUUCCCCCGUAGGGCGUAUGCGGUAUUAGCCUGGGUUUCCCCAGGUUAUCCCCCACUACCGGGCAGAUUCCUAUGCAUUACUCACCCGUCCGCCGCUCGCCACCAGGGAGCAAGCUCCCCGUGCUGCCGCUCGACUUGCAUGUGUUAGGCCUGCCGCCAGCGUCAUCUGAGCCAUAGUACUAACCUAACCUACGUACGUACGUAGGACGGGCGGUCGGUCGGACGGACGGCCGACUAGUAG